rnacentral:rRNA from 2 species
UACGUAGGGUGCAAGCGUUGUCCGGAAUUAUUGGGCGUAAAGAGCUCGUAGGCGGUCUGUCACGUCGGAUGUGAAAACUCGGGGCUCAACCCCGAGCCUGCAUACGAUACGGGCAGACUUGAGUGUGGCAGGGGAGUCUGGAAUUCCUGGUGUAGCGGUGAAAUGCGCAGAUAUCAGGAGGAACACCGGUGGCGAAGGCGGGACUCUGGGCCAAUACUGACGCUGAGGAGCGAAAGCGUGGGGAGCAAACAGG